AGAUCUUGUACACUAUACUUCAACUGGAGAAGGUUCUGUCUUGACAAUUGAUCAGAGAACAGGUUCUUUGCUCUGGACUCUAGAAUUGGAUUCACCCUUAGUGGCAAUGUACCAGUUAAGUCCUAAUGGUGGUUUACUGUCUGUACCAACAACAACUGUAGCUUCUCAAACACUUCAUCAUUUUACUGAAGAAUUCAUGCAACUGUCACACCAUAAUAAAGAUGAUUCUGACAGUCUUCUUGUUAAAAAAUUAAGUCCAACUAUAUAUAUUGGAGAAUGCAGUUCUGGUGUUUAUGCAGUCCCAACCUUAGUUGAUGAAACUACUGUGACCAUUUCUCGCAAGGGAUCAAGGUUACUUUUAGGAGGGCCUCCUGGAUCUCAAGGCACAAUAGCUCGGACAUCCAUGACACCCAAAGACAUGAAAUA